CCUACGGGGGGCUGCAGUGGGGAAUAUUGGACAAUGGGCGAAAGCCUGAUCCAGCCAUGCCGCGUGUGUGAAGAAGGCCUUCGGGUUGUAAAGCACUUUCAGUGGGGAAGAAAGCCUUGGGGCUAAUACCCUCGAGGAAGGACAUCACCCACAGAAGAAGCACCGGCUAACUCCGUGCCAGCAGCCGCGGUAAUACGGAGGGUGCGAGCGUUAAUCGGAAUUACUGGGCGUAAAGCGCGCGUAGGCGGUCUGAUAAGCCGGUUGUGAAAGCCCCGGGCUCAACCUGGGAACGGCAUCCGGAACUGUCAGGCUAGAGUGCAGGAGAGGAAGGUAGAAUUCCCGGUGUAGCGGUGAAAUGCGUAGAGAUCGGGAGGAAUACCAGUGGAGAAGGCGGCCUUCUGGACUGACACUGACGCUGAGGUGCGAAAGCGUGGGUAGCAAACAGGAUUAGAUACCCGAGUAGUC
rnacentral:rRNA from 1 species